GUGAGGAAUUUUCCGCAAUGGGCGAAAGCCUGACGGAGCAAUGCCGCGUGAAGGAUGAAGGCCUAUGGGUUGUAAACUUCUUUUCUCAGAAAAGAAUUAUGACGGUAUCUGAGGAAUAAGCAUCGGCUAACUCUGUGCCAGCAGCCGCGGUAAGACAGAGGAUGCAAGCGUUAUCCGGAAUGAUUGGGCGUAAAGCGUCGGUAGGUUGUUUAAAAAGUAUUCUGUCAAAGAUUAGGGCUUAACCCUAGAUAGGCAGAAUAAACUUUUAAGCUAGAGUUUGGUAGAGGCAGAGGGAAUUCCCGGUGGAGCGGUGAAAUGCGUAGAUAUCGGGAGGAACACCAAAGGCGAAGGCACUCUGCUGGGCCAAUACUAACACUGAGAGACGAAAGCGAGGGGAGCAAAUGGGAUUAGAAACCCUUGUAGUCC
rnacentral:rRNA from 1 species